rnacentral:sRNA from 1 species
CAGAGUGGGGUCCUCUGUCAGCUUCCUCAUCUAGACUUCCUGCAGCACCUUCUUCCUCUUCUCCCAGCUGGGAACUUUUCUUCCUUCUCCCUGUCCUUGUCUCUGCCUCUCAUUUUCUCUCCCUGUCUUCAGAUCGAUCUAGCUCCAUCUGUCUGGCUCUGUCUGUCUGGCUUGGUCUCUUGGCCCUGUCUCUGUCCCAAUCUCUUUGAUCACAUCCCCCAGUUUGGUCUCUGUGUCUCUGAGUCUCUGCCUGCCUCCCCCUCCUUCCCUUCCCAGGAGUUCCUGAAGAAGGAGUUCAGCGCGGAAAACGUGACUUUCUGGAAGGCCUGCGAGCGCUUCCAACAGAUCCCGGCCAGCGAUACCCAGCAGCUAGCUCAGGAGGCCCGCAACAUCUACCAGGAGUUCCUGUCCAGCCAGGCGCUGAGCCCAGUGAACAUCGACCGUCAGGCCUGGCUUGGCGAGGAGGUGCUGGCCGAGCCCCGGCCGGACAUGUUUCGGGUACAGCAGCUUCAGAUCUUCAACUUGAUGAAGUUCGACAGCUAUGCGCGCUUCGUCAAGUCCCCGCUGUACCGCGAGUGCCUGCUAGCCGAAGCCGAGGGGCGCCCUCUGCGGGAACCUGGCUCCUCGCGCCUCGGCAGCCCUGACGCCACGAGGAAG